AACUGUAAAUAACCUCAUUGAAGCCAUUGUUUCAGCAAGCCAGAUUUGGAUGGUGUGAUGGCUAACAACGAUUGUCAACUUGACAGGAUCUAGAAUCACCAAGAUGACAAGCCUCUGGACAUGUUUGGAAGUUAUUAUCUAGAUUUACCUUAAGCAAGAUGGGAAGACCUAUCCUGAUUGUGACUGGCAUCUUUCCACGAGCUGGGGAAAAGGGCUGCAUAUAAAGGAGAAAGCUAGUUAACAGGAAUGCUCAUUGCUCUCUGCUUCCUGAUUGCAGAUACAAUGUGACCAGCUAAUUCAAUUUUCUGUCACCAUGACUUCCUCACCAUGAUGGACAAAAUUACAAAAGCCAUGUGCUGCACAAACUGAGAAGCCACAAAUUAUUAUGACUCAAGUAUAUGAUUCAUACGUACAUGAAAAAGAACCAGUUUGUUCCUACACAAUAAUUUGAAUGAUGAAAGAAGCAUUCAAAGCGCAUAUGAUUUGAACAGCUUUCUUGAUAACCGGAGCAAAACUUCAUCACUUGUUGCUUGAGCGCUGUAUACUGAGGACUCUAAAUAAGAAUGUUUGGAGUUGUCUUAAAGAAAUGAGUUUUCCAGCAUCUCUGCUUACAACUAUUGGAAGAGGAGGUUCUCAAGAGCUAUUCCAAUUUACUAAAGCCAGCACACCCCAUCUAUAGACCAGAGGAACCCCCACAAGCAGGAAUGCCUGACUUUGAUGAACUGCUUAGGAAGUCCUAGGAGGUGUGGCCUUGUUUGAGAAGGCAUAUUGCUGACCACAGGCGUUAAAAUUUCCAAAGCCCAUGCCAGGCACAGUCUCUCUCCCUGCCUGCAACUUAUGGAUCAGAUGUGAAUGCUCACCAUGCCUGACUUCCUGAUUGAUAUUCAUGGUCUCACCCUCUGAAACUGCAAGUAAUCCCGCAUUAAAGGCUUUCUUUUAUUAGUUACCUUGGUCAUGUUAUCUCUUCACAGCAAUAGAAUGGUACCGAAGACAGUCACACACUGCAAAUGAAUACAGUAUGGCAAUGCUUGGUAUCCAAGAAUGACAUUUGGACAUGUUAAAUAGAUCACUUCACAUAAUCAUAGAACAUAUAGAUACAAAAGCAGUGUUUCAAAUAUCACCAGACCGUGAAACUUCUGGUACUAAUUUAGUUAAGUAAUAAAAUAGGAACAGAAAGCAUUAAUUAUCAAUAAAAUCUCUUCCAAUUCUAGAUUUCUUGUAAAAUUUACUGCAGGGAAAAUCUUUGUAAAAGAUGUAUUGUUCUUAUCUAUGGAUAUAAUAGGUCUGGAAUAAAACUAAACAUGUGUUUGGCUUGCAUUGUAGUGGAAGAGAGAAGAAAGGAAGUGAGGGAUUGGGAGAAUAGAAAAUGAAAUAAGAAUGCCUUGCACUUGCCAUGCAGAGAAUUAAAGUCAGGUGAGUGACAUUGGGAAGCCCUAUUUGAAGAAAAUAUAUUUAAAACUUCCCAUGUAAGUCAAAAACACAAGUCAUUUUCAUACUUGAAGUGAUUAUAAGGACCUUAAUCACAACAUGUAAAGCACCAGUUUACACAUUUGCUGGCAUGGUCAAUACAGAAAAUGGUUCACAAUAAAUGUGGCAUCAUGGGUAGGGCUAGGUUGAUAACCAUUCCAUGCAUAUAACUAUGAUCACAGUAGAAAUGCUUAUUCUACUUCUGAUAUGUGGAUACUCUUGACCACUGUUUAUAAAGUACUACAAGAAAUAGUCCAGCACAAGCAAAAGUUGGUUAUUUGGAAGUAGACACCAAACAUAUAUAGGGAAUUGAGAGAUCAGGGUUUCCAAAGGAUGGCAAGUUAUGUGGCUUGAAGUGUGGUUCUAAGGUACCAUCCAGGACUGAUCAUGAAGAUUUCAGCUAGAAAUCCUUGACUUUGAACUGUGUUCUAUGUCAGAGAGCAAGGAGGGGGAAUGGACAUUUGCUGAGCAAAAUGGUGAAGUGUGUCGGGGACUAGGUAGCUGUUUUCUUAGACUUUCCUUACAGUUUGACUUCAAUGCAUGAGCCUUUUGUUCUUCAUUCAUCUCCAUAGAUAGGACUAUAUACUAGCCAUUCAUUGCUGGGAGCAAGUACCUGGCAAGAAGCAACUUGAGGGGUUAGUUGUGUUAUGAACAUAACCCAAACCAGAACACAAUACUGAGAAGAAGGGACUUCCAUCUAAUUGCCCUGUAGACAUGUCAAUGGGGCAUUUUCUCAAUUGCUUAUUGGUGUGGGAAAACCCUACACACAGUGCUUUCUGUAGGUAGGUGGGCUUAUUAAUAUUGCCUGUAUAAGAAGGUUAGUUGAACAAGCCAGAUAAUUAAACAAGUAAGCAGAUUUCCUCCAUGGUUUCUGCUUCAAUCUCCUUCCCGGACUUCCUUCUGUGAUGUAAUAUAAAUUCUAAAAUGAAAUAACACUUCCAUCCACCCCAAGUUAGUUUUGAGCAAUAUUUUAUCACAGCAACAGAGACCAAGCUAGUACAGGGAUGAAGAUUUUUUUCCUCAGAACUUAAAAAUCAUGUUUGUUUAUUAAAAUUUUCAUUUCUUAUAAUAAAAAUCUUUUAGCAAGGU